UGUCAGCUGAUUAGACGUAAAACAGUCGGCACAAGUGGUGCAACCAUGUAAAAAAGCGUA
rnacentral:ncRNA from 1 species